rnacentral:rRNA from 1 species
AACGAACGCUGGCGGCGUGCUUAACACAUGCAAGUCGAGUGCGUAGUUCCCGUAGCAAUACGGGGACGGGCGCACGGCGCACGGGUGCGUAACACGUGGGCAAUCUGCCCUCCGAUGGGGAAUAACCCCGCGAAAGCGGGGCUAAUUCCGCAUAACAUUCCUUGGACUUCGGUUCGGGGACUCAAAGCAGUGAUGCGUCGGAGGAGGAGCCCGCGCCCGAUUAGCUAGUUGGUAGGGUAACGGCCUACCAAGGCGAUGAUCGGUAGCUGGUCUGAGAGGAUGAUCAGCCACACUGGAACUGAGACACGGUCCAGACUCCUACGGGAGGCAGCAGUGGGGAAUCUUGCACAAUGGGCGAAAGCCUGAUGCAGCAACGCCGCGUGGGGGAUGAAGCUUUUCGGAGUGUAAACCCCUUUCGACCGGGACGAAUGCCCGCAAGGGACUGACGGUACCGGUAUAAGAAGCCCCGGCUAACUACGUGCCAGCAGCCGCGGUAAGACGUAGGGGGCCAGCGUUGUUCGGAAUUACUGGGUGUAAAGGGUUCGUAGGCGGUGCGGCAAGUUGGGAGUGAAAUCUCUGGGCUUAACUCAGAGGCUGCUUCCAAAACUGCUGUGCUUGAGUGUGGGAGAGGCGCGUGGAAUUGCAGGUGUAGCGGUGAAAUGCGUAGAUAUCUGCAGGAACACCCGUGGCGAAAGCGGCGCGCUGGACCACAACUGACGCUGAGGAACGAAAGCUAGGGGAGCAAACAGGAUUAGAUACCCUGGUAGUCCUAGCCCUAAACGAUCAGGACUUGGGGUGCCGCCCGUUCGGGCGUCGUCCCGGAGCUAACGCGUUAAGUCCUGCACCUGGGGAGUACGGCCGCAAGACUGAAACUCAAAGGAAUUGACGGGGGCCCGCACAAGCGGUGGAACAUGUGGUUCAAUUCGACGCUACGCGAGGAACCUUACCUGGGCUCGAAAUGCUUAUGACCAGCUGUAGAAAUACGGCCUUCCCGCAAGGGACAUAAG